UUGCCCGCGACCUAUCAGGUUGUUGGUGAGGUAACGGCUCACCAAGCCGACGACGGGUAGCCGGUCUGAGAGGACGAUCGGCCCGAGGGGCACUGAGACACGGGCCCCACUCCUACGGGAGGCAGCAGUCGGGAAUUUUGGGCAAUGGGCGCAAGCCUGACCCAGCGACGCCGCGUGGAGGACGAAGCCCUUCGGGGUGUAAACUCCUUUUAGUGGGGACGAACGCAGACGGUACCCACAGAAAAAGCCCCGGCUAACUACGUGCCAGCAGCCGCGGUAAUACGUAGGGGGCGAGCGUUGCCCGAAUUUACUGGGCGUAAAGCGCACGUAGGCGGCUCCGUAAGUCUGGUGUGAAAUCUCACGGCUCAACCGGGAGGCUGCACCAGAUACUGCGGAGCUCGAGGACGGGAGAGGAGAUUGGAAUUCCCGGUGUAGCGGUGAAAUGCAUUGAUAUCGGGAGGAACACCAGUGGCGAAGGCGGAUCUCUGGCCCGUUGCUGACGCUGAGGUGCGAAAGCUGGGGGAGCGAAAGGGAUUAGAUACCCCUGUAGUCCCAGCCCUAAACGAUGGGCGCUAGGUGUUGGGGGAUUAACCCUCGGCGCCGUAGCUAACGCAUUAAGCGCCCCGCCUGGGGAGUACGGCCGCAAGGUUGAAACUCAAAGGAAUUGACGGGGCCCGCACAAGCGGUGGAGC
rnacentral:rRNA from 1 species